rnacentral:tRNA from 1 species
UUCUGGUGGCUCAGAUGGUAAAGUAUCUGCCUGCAAUGCAGGAGACCCAGGUUCUAUCCCUGGGUCAGGAA